AAACCUUGACUCAAUUCAUAAAGAUUACUCAAAUCAAUUUCUAUAAAAUCAAUAGGCAGAAAGAAACCUUGUAAAAGGACAUGGAAGCAUCCUUCGAGAACUUAGCUAUGCAACUUGGUCUAUUAUCUAGCCAAUUAGCAUUAAAAUUGAGCUUUAGUGGGGAGUUUGAUGGGAAAAUUUUAGAUAGUUCCAAAGAUAAGGAAAUUG
rnacentral:lncRNA from 1 species